rnacentral:SRP_RNA from 11 species
ACCUACGCAUGCCUGUAACUCAAGUGAGGGUAUUAAAGAUGGUUGAACAGUGACUCAGUCCAGUCAGGUUGGCUCCAUUGGCGCACAAACUGGCUUGCCCGUUCCAAGUUGUGAGUUGGACUAUGUGUCUCUAGCGAAGGCUUGGGGCACGUGGUUCCUACAGGGGGCACUAUCACUCAUAUUUGCUCUUCAUCUGGAUGUCACAGGAAAUAACGAGGAGAGUGAGAGUCGAACUUGGGGUCACAAAGAACACAAAAUCUUU